rnacentral:snRNA from 1 species
GGAUGUGAGGGCGAUCUGGCUGCGACAUCUGUCCUACCCCAUUGAUCGCCAGGGUUGAUUCGGCUUGUCUGGCUGGCUAGGCGGGUGCCCCCUUCCUCCCUCACCGCUCCAUGUGCGUCCUUCUGAAGCUGUGCUUGGUUGAAGAGGACAACCUUACCCCCAUAGAGGACCGUUCUUCAGUCAAGAGUAUACGAGUAGCUGUACUACCCUGCUAGAACCUCCAAACAAGCUCUCUCAAGAGUCACAGUUUAGUUGAGGCUAUAGACAAACUAUAAAAUGCAAUAAGAAACCUUUUUAUGAACAGUCAAG